rnacentral:tRNA from 1 species
GCCUCCGUAGCUCAGCUGGUAGAGUGGCCGCUUCGUAAGCGGUAGGUCGAGGGUUCAAAUCCCUCCGGAGGCU